ACGAGGUAAAACUUUCAUCAUUUGCUCAGAAUUUAAUUUUAAACACACUAAUGACCAAAUCGGAGUAAAAGGACAAGCUAAUUGGCUAAAAAAUAUUGGCAAACUUUGGCAGCGCCGCCACGGGGUAUUUCGAAAAACACCUCCGAUGAGGCCCUUCCCGAUUCUCGUUCGAUGUGAUUUUUCUACCGUUGUGAUCACUGUUUCCUUCUCUGCAGGUUGACCAGAGCAAAACACCCAACCGCAAUAUGAGCCGGAGGAGUCGCCGCACUGGAGAGCCUCGCCGCCGGUGAGUUUCAGUUUUCUACGUUCUUUUCGCCCAACCG
rnacentral:lncRNA from 1 species